GGAAAGAGAAGGUCUACAUGACAGGAGAUGUCCCUGGAUGUAAGAGGUCCUCGGAUUCCAGCUGCAGCAUGCCUCGCAAAAUUGAAGAGAUUAAGGAUUUCCUGCUGACAGCCAGGAGAAAGGAUGCCAAGUGUCUCUCCGUGAAAGAACUGAAGUAAUCCUGCUCUCUUGUACAAUAAAAACAUUAAAAAGA